rnacentral:rRNA from 1 species
AUACGGAGGAUCCGAGCGUUAUCCGGAUUUAUUGGGUUUAAAGGGUGCGCAGGCGGGAGAUUAAGUCGGCGGUGAAAUUUUGCAGCUCAACUGUAAAAGUGCCUUCGAAACUGGUUUCCUUGAGUGUAGAUGAAGUAGGCGGAAUUUGUGGUGUAGCGGUGAAAUGCAUAGAUAUCACGAGGAACUCCGAUUGCGCAGGCAGCUUACUAAACUACUACUGACGCUCAGGCACGAAGGCGUGGGGAUCAAACAGGAUUAGAUACCCUGGUAGUCCACGCAGUAAACGAUGAUUACUAGCUGUUUGCGAUACAAUGUAAGCGGCUGAGCGAAAGCGUUAAGUAAUCCACCUGGGGAGUACGUUCGCAAGAAUGAAACUCAAAGGAAUUGACGGG